rnacentral:rRNA from 1 species
AUUGUAUAGUUCUGAUAUGGGUGGUAUUUGUAGCCAACGUGUAGGUAGUUGUAUAUUAAAUAUGAAAGUUCUUUUAUGAUUAUGUGAUAGGUGGUGCAUGGCCGUCCUUAAUUCGUGGAGUGAUUUGUCUGCUUAAUUGCGCAUUGCAAAUUGUAAUUGAUCUUUUACCAGUCUCGUUCUGAUUUAUGUUGUGAAUAUUGUAGAAUAUUGUUGUCGUCGAGUCAUUAUUACCACUACGUCUGGUCCUUUGGGCAGAAUAGUGUUGUAUAUUUUGUCUUGUCAACACAAAAUUCUUCACAAUAUUGUAGCCGUACUUGAUUGUAUGCGCUAUUCAUGUAUAUGUGGUUAGUCAACACCAGUUCGGCUGCUUGCACACAUCGCCAUCUCAACAUGAUCAGUCAGGCUGCUAGAGACCUUGUGUCUUGCCCCAAAGGUUGAUUAACACCGUGAGUGCAACGAGUGAAUUGCAAGCCUUUGUUAUGUAGUGAACAACAUAUACCUACUACUACUACUACUUUGUAGUAAUGUAGGAUUCCAACUACACACAGAAUAACCAUUAAGGUGAAAUGAACUCAGGCGACUGCUAUACUUUAAGAUGG